UUAGCAUUGCUCUCUGAUUAGGAAGGCUAAGCAGUCUCGAGAGCUGGGAGCGAGAAAAGCGCCGAGUCCUAUUUGUUGUUGUUGUUUUGGGGGGCAGAAGUUGUUAAUAUGGGAGGUAUGGUAGCUACACAAUCUAUUUUCUAGCAGUUAGCAGCUCGGCUAUAGUGGCAGAUUGACGGGGAGAAAGAGUGAAAGACACUUCAAAAGGGAAGGAGGAUCCCAGUCUGGUAAAUGAGAAGGCAACCCGUCUGGUUUCGGGGUGUGUGGCUCGCUGAUAUCACAGGUGUAGUUUCAGAGAGUGAGACACUUUGUUGAGGGGAGACAAAGAAAAUGUGGGAGCGAGGAGUCGGGCCAAAUAAAGCUUGUGUUCGGCGCAGGCAGAGAUUUUAGAUAUUGUUUAUUAUGGCAAUACUGCCACCUAUAGGCUUACUAUGACAACAUCUAGAGAAGGGAUGGGAAAAAGGGUCCUGAGUCGUCAUAUUUGUUGACCCAGGAAUAAUAUUUUAGUUAUCCAAUCAGAUUUGAGGAACAUGUUUAAACUUUAUAGUUUAUGUCGACUUCAGAGGGGAUAUUACAUCAAUGUUGUUGGCCAUUCUCAAAAGUAAAGGUACAGCAGCUGUCAUUGGUGUGGUACCUAUAGGAGAAGGGUAAUCCUGCACAACUGGAGUGGCUGCACUCUCAGGACCGCAUUUUUAGGACCGCAUCUUUAGGACCCUAGUUUUUUGUGACAGCGUUACCUGUCGGAUUGGAUCAUGGAUGCGCUAAUGGACGACACGGAUGACAAGGAAAGUGCCAUCGUACAUCCUCUGGGUGUCUUGAGGAGCUGGUCUUUGGAUGAUGCUGAGCAGGUCUUUCUUUCUGGUAAAGAUUAUCAUUACAGGAGCUAAAGUCUACAGCCAGUCUGAAUGCAGCAACUGAAUAAACAGUGGAGUCAUUUUUGUGGUUGAAUUGCAUUAAUAAAAAUAAAAGUGUGGAUAUUUAUAUAAAUGUA